AAGUCGUAACAAGGUUUCCGUAGGUGAACCUGCGGAAGGAUCAUUAUUGAAAUAAACCUGAUGGGUUGUUGCUGGUUCUCUAGGGAGCAUGUGCACGCCUUGUCAUUUUUAUAUCUCCACCUGUGCACCUUUUGUAGACCUUUCAGGUCUAUGUUGCUUUUUCAUUUACCCCAAUGUAUGUUAAUAGAAUGUUGUGCCUAUAAAAUCUAUACAACUUUCAGCAACGGAUCUCUUGGCUCUC
rnacentral:misc_RNA from 1 species